rnacentral:rRNA from 1 species
CCUAAAUGGAGAGUUUGAUCCUGGCUCAGGACGAACGCUGGCGGCGUGCCUAAUACAUGCAAGUCGAGCGGACCAAGUGUUUCCUUCGGGAAACACGUUGGUUAGCGGCGGACGGGUGAGUAACACGUAGGUAACCUGCCCGUAAGACUGGGAUAACAUUCGGAAACGAAUGCUAAUACCGGAUACACAACUUGGUCGCAUGAUCGGAGUUGGGAAAGACGGAGCAAUCUGUCACUUACGGAUGGACCUGCGGCGCAUUAGCUAGUUGGUGAGGUAACGGCUCACCAAGGCGACGAUGCGUAGCCGACCUGAGAGGGUGAUCGGCCACACUGGGACUGAGACACGGCCCAGACUCCUACGGGAGGCAGCAGUAGGGAAUCUUCCGCAAUGGACGAAAGUCUGACGGAGCAACGCCGCGUGAGUGAUGAAGGUUUUCGGAU